UGGGGAGGCAGCCAGGGGCUCUCUGGGCUUGGGGCUCUGCUUGGGCACCCUCAGGUCCUGCCAUGGGAGCGGAUGUGGGCAGGAGGGGCUUCUGCCUCUUCAGCUCAUUCUGGAAGAAAAUAUCUGCUCCUGCUUUCAGCUGUCCUGCAGGAUGAAGCUCUCCAUCUAUCCCAGAUCCCGAUCAUACAGCAGUGUGGCAUGCUCUGUCCAUGCAUCAAGGACCAUGUCCACCUGGGGAAGGGGAAUGCCUGGAUGAUAGUGUGGUGGAGAAGAUGAUCUCUUGCCUUCAUGAAGGUGCUCUGAGGUUGCCCUCCUGCUCCACAGCAUGUGUGCUGCUUCGCUUCACCUCCCUUCCUGCAGCAAAUGGGUCAUUAUUUCCAGCUGGAUAAGUUCUCCAGCCUAUUCCUCACAAGCAAUACUGGGACAAGCAGCUGAGACCGCAGUGCCACCACAGUGAAGCUGUCACUUGAAGGAGAUGCAGCUGGAAGCUGGGCUGCACACCCACCUCUGGAUCCUGGUGCUACCAAAAUCGAAGUCAGGCUGCAUGUGUAUAUAUCAAAUUGCUGGAACGAAGAAGAAAUUCACUUCCCUGCUGCCAAUCUUCCUGGCAUUCAAUCUUCUGUGUCUGCUUUCAGCUGAGGGCUGCAGAGGAGCAGCGGAGGCAGUGGGGCGGGUGGCAGGGCUGCGGCUCCCCUGGGAAAGCAUUGCAUGUGUGAGACGAGCUGUGAGAGUGUCUGGGCAACAAGCAUCAGUGCACAAACCAGAGAGAGGAGACUGGAAUGUAAAAAGGAAACGAGUACAUGGAAAUUCAGAACUCUCCCCAGACGAAAAACAGAGGGAGAGGGUUUUUUUGGCAACUGAAGUUGCAAAAAAUGUUUCUGAUUUUCUUCCUCGUUUCAAACUUUGCAAACUGCACCUAGCUCUAGUCACACAGCUGCAUCCUACAUCCUCUACUGAACCCAGAAUGGGUCAGCCUGGAAGAAGCCACCACCCUCCCAUCAUCAUUGGCAGGACCAGUGGGAUCUGCCCCUCUGGCCAAGACGUUCCCCUGGGGUCCAUAUGUCCUGCUGAAGGAAAAGCCUCACAUCCCUUGGGGAUCAGAUGGGCUGCUCAUGGGUGUCCCCCUCAUCUCCCCAGCUGCCUUUUCUUAUUGCUCCCCUGCCAUCAUGCUGGUAAUUUCUGUACCCUCCUUUUACUUUCAGGGUUGUGAAAAAGGGGAGACUGAGAUGAGCUCUUAGGCAGAAGCUCUUCCCUGUGAGGGUGCUGAGGCGCUGGCACAGGGUGCCCAGAGAAGCUGUGGCUGCCCCAUCCCUGGCAGUGUCCAAGGCCAGGUUGGACACAGGGGCUUGGAGCAAGCUGCUCUAGUGGAAGGUGUUCCUGCCUGUGGCAGGGGGGUGGAAAUGGGUGAGCUUUAAGGUCUCUUCCAACCCAACAUUCUGUGAUAUGAUUCUAUGACUGUGGUUUCUCUCCACCUCCUUCAGCAGAAGCGGGUGGGUGACUUCUCCCUUCCCCAGCUCCCCAGUCCAGAAUGUCACAGCUUCACCCUGUCUGCUGAGCCAUGAGUGUGCCCUGCCACAGGGCCACCAGGAGCUGGGGGAGCUGCAAGACCUCACUGGGUCUCUGUGGCUGGCUGAGAUAACUCCAAGCCUGCAGGUCAGAGCAGCAGGGCCCAUUUGUAAGCAAUUUACCUCAAGAAUUUGGCAGCCGAAGUUCAAGCAGCUUUCCUGGGCGAGUAAAUGACACUGUGUGUUUCUGUGUCACAUCCGGAUGAGCGCGACUUGUUGAGUGAGGUUAGUAGCGCAUAUAUUUGUGCUUACCGACUCGAAAUGUGCUUCCUAUGGAUAUUCCGUAAUAUUUACUUAAAUCUAGCUGUUUCUGUUAAGGCUCCUGGCAGCAAGAACAAUUAGCGAAUUUUCAUAGCUAACAAAGGCAAAACAGGACACUGGGCAGGGUCUGAACUGAUUGAGGACUUGAGUGCAUGCAGUAUUUGUUUUGUGGUAUUUAGCUGAUUCAGUUUACAAUGUGGGACAUUUUAUUUAUUUAUUUUUAAAGCAUGUCUUGUGUGCGUCCCCCCCCCCCCCCCUUGUAAAUCCUGUGGUUCUAUCCAGGAUUCAAGUUACAAACUUUUGCUGUUUUGCUUCAGCCAUGAUUUUUUCAUAAAAGCGUGGUUAGGCUAUUUUUACUUUAGAAAAUGAAUUGGUUUUCUCCUUUUUUUUUUUUUUUUUUGCUGAUAAAUUGCAAAUGGACGAAGGGAAUUUGCUCAGACUUUUCCCACAGACAUUCUCCUUUGGGCAGAGAUUAAACAUGGGGGGUUUCAGUCUAAAAUGCAAAUGCUUUGGACAUUUAUGAGAGUGGGAAAACAGGGGCCCAUUAUGAGAACUGCUUUGUGACUUGAUUGGGGUGCUACUGGGAGCCAGCACUGCCCUGGGAGGCUCAGAGCGGCGUGCCUGGCCUCAGCAGCCAGACUUCACCCUUCUCCUAUGAUCAGGCUUGUGGGAGAGAUGGGGAGCACCAUGUCCUGGAGGUGGAGACCUGGUUUGCACAGCAAGAUCUGCUCCUGUGGGUUGUUUAACAUUUGCUGGCUGCAAAUCCCAGCUGAUGGUGGAGUUGUGGGACGCUGGAAGCCUCUCCAGCCCCAUGGGGGAAGCGGAGUGAGUGUCUGGGGGGACGCUGGUCACUGGUCAGCAGGAUGGAUACAGCUGCAAUUUGGGCAUCAUAUAUGGGUUGCUUUAGGAAGAUGGACACAGUUCACAGCUCCUUGCUUGCGUGGUGCUUAAGUGAGAAGGUAAUGUGACUCUUAAAGCUCCCAGUUUGGGUGAAGGUGAAAUAUGACAUCUUGGUUUUCUCCCAUGAUACUCCCCCUUGUUCCUGUGUCUGGACCUGGGGAGCAGCUGCUUCUGCUGCUUGGGAGCCCUUGCUGCCUGCAGGGGCCACAUGGGAGAGCAUAGGGUGGCUGCAAGUGCCUUUGGGAGCCCUGGGAGGCCGCUGAUGGGUUUAGGAAGGAGUAGGAGGGGGCUUGUGAUGAGAGCUCCUCCGGGGAAAUCCCCGCAGCGUCUGACAGCAGAUUGGCACUGUGAAAAAUUUACAUCUCCUGCUGAGAACUCAAUUUCCAUAGGAGAUAAUCAGAUGUGACCCGUGUAACACAGUGAUGUUUUUACAGGAUGUUUUUGCUUCCUUUUUUUUUCUGUUUGCUCCUCUCUCUCUCAAUUUCCAUUUGGCGUCUUCAGCAGUUCCCGAUGGUUGUAUUUUGACAAGGAUUCUCAAACCACUUGUAAACACUUCAGAGUGAGGACAAGGUGGGAACCACAGCGUCUACCUCCAGUUAUUAACAUGACUUCAGGAUGAAGUAGGUUGACCCCAGAGCCUGGCUGCCUGGUCCUGUGGGGCUGGAUCCAUUUACUGCCAUCCUGGAGGUUAUCAGAGGGAGGUGUGUGGGAGAGGGAAGAAGGGGAAAGCAGGAGGAAGGAUGUAACAGGGCAGAAAUGGUGCAGGCAUAGGGGGAAAAGUGUGGGAGUGAAGAUUAUUGGAAGGCAACACCAGCAAAGCUGUGAGGGCAAUCCUCUUCUUCCACCCACAGACUCUCUUAAGCCCUCGCCUGUCAGUCAGCCCCUUAUUUACAUGAAUACUAAAUCCACUUGCAGCUUCUUUAAAUAAAACAAGAACACGCACCUUCCUGUAGUGAAACAUAUUAUAGCAGUUUGUCACAGCAUCAUCCAGUAGGUAUUAAUUCCCAAAUCAUUCUAUGACAUGUUUUAUCAUAAGUUAUUAAAGAAGGUAGCUGCAUUGGGCAAUCAUUUGAUAAACUGAGCCAUAAUUUAACAUGCUCUUCCGUCAUAUUAGUGAGGAACAAGAUUUAUUUUCCCAGUGCAACUUUAAUUAUGGAUAGCACAUGCAGGCGAUUGAGCUGACUGAAUCUUUAAGGUUAAUGAUGUCUCCUGCAGAGCACCUUGGGGUAAGGCACAGGAUCUUCCCCACGCUCCUGACUCACCUGUGGUUGGCAUAUCUGGCUCCAGGUAACAAUAUGACCUUGAAUUUUGAGCCUUAAAAAGGUGGUUGUGUUUUUCUAGUGAGAUUUAGGGCAUUCAGAAUGCACUGCCAAGGUUGGCCAGGUGCCUGGCUGCGGUCCCCUCGGGGAAGCAGAGUGCUUCUGCCUCCCCUGACGCCUCACAAGCAGCAGGAGGGACUUUCCCGACUGAGCAAGAGUGUGUCUCUAAAUCCAUGCUUAUCUGAAUAGCCAGAAGUUGCCUCACAAUGAUUCCCAUGGAUUCUGGUCACUUUGUGGCCCAUCGGGCUGAGCAAACUGUGAAAAUCUGUGCUCUGCACAGGCCACAGAAGUGUGUUUUCUGACAAGGACUGCUCAUCACACACCGCUGUCUGCUACAGGUAGCGGCAGCAACCCGGCUCCAGACCUGCUUCUCCUGAGACUGGACUCCUUCCCUGAGCCUUGGCUCUUAGCAGUUACUUUUAGCACUUCCACUGCAGCUGCAAAUUCUCCAAGACCACUGUGAAGCAGAGGGCCCACCACUGCUUUCUCGAGACCCUGCUCUUCAGGCUCGGGUGGCUGUUAGACGACUUUGGAAUCACAAGGAUAUAGGCAAAGGAGUGUGGGUAUCUGCUUCUGCAGCCUGUGCUCCUUUGGGCAGAGCCGGCUGUGAACCCAGCCUGUUGGGGUGCUAAAACAGAGCUCAGGGAGCUAGAAAAGCACCAAGGGAAUGACCCAGAGGCUUCCAAAGAAGCUGAGCAUCUCCUCCUAUCUGGGGGAGUAAAUGACCCUCCUGGCGAAUAUCACUAUUAGGCUGAAAUCCUCAGGUUCCCUUGUUUGCUGCUGCUUUCUUGCUCUUUUUCACAGCUUUAUUUUUGGCUCUGGAAAUUGUCUUUUAAUUUCUGUGCCUUUGUUUUCAUGUCUCUUGGCCCCAGCCUUUUGAUUGCUCUCCCAGCUCUGGACAUGGAGGAUGCAGGGAGAUGAGCACAGAGGGUUCCCUGGCUGCUGUGGUGCUGGUGUGGGGCCAUGCGUUUCCCUGCCACCUCAGCAGGGAAAGAUCCAGGUGCAAAAUGCUGUCCCUGAGGAAGGGCUAGUGUUUGGGGGUGCUGGAGAAGCAGUACAGCAAGAGGUCAGGUUGCUCAUAAGGAUCAUUGCAAGUGGCAGAGAGAAACCAGCCCAAAGCAUCCUGCUGCUUCCUCCCUGCUGCCACUAUGCUCAUAAUCAGAAAUACGGAAAAAAAAUACUAAUCCCUUAUUAAACUAAAUUACUAAGCAGUUUGGGACAGGGAGGGAAUGUAGGAGGGAAGAGAUGCUUAAACACAUCAGGCUGAUGUAAUUUCUUUUAGUCAGGAGCAGGAGAAACACAAUCCAGUUCUCUUCCCCCCAGCAGAACAAAGGGGAAAGUCCCCACGGGGAGAUUAGGAAAAGUGAAACAAAAUAAAACCCAACCAAAAAACAACCACAAAUGAGACAGGAGAGUAACAAAAAAAUAAAGAAGGAAGAGAAGAAAAAAGGAAAGACAAAACCAUCAUCCCCCUCAAGUGUCCCCUCUGUUGUGUGUAACAGCUUCUCGCUUCCCCCACUUCCCCAGCACCAGUCAGGCUUACAGAGCCAUAAAAUAAGAGUUUGUGGUGUGUUCAAUCGAUUAUUUCUCCUAAUGCACUGUUUUUGGAGACAGGUAAUUUAUUUCAGACUCUACAUGUCUACAUGCAAAAAAACACACAAAAAAAAAUCGCUUCUUUCUCUUUCUUCACUUUUUGGUUUACAGCCCUUUCUUUUUUGCCCCUUUGCUCCCUCCUCCCCCUCGCUUCCCCCUCUCAAGUCCCCCCAGACACAAGAGUUUCCCAGUGAAAGGUGCAGCCAUUCCCACAGUGAAACCCAAGGCAGGUAAUGACUUUCUCACCCCAUCCAUACUGCUCCAGAAACUGCUGCCUCACCAGCUGCAUCCCUUUAUUUUGGAGAAACAAGGGGGAGGGGGGAAGUGCCAGCCCCCUCUGAUUCCCUCUCCUCCAAGGCCUCCCCAUAAAAAAGGAGAAAGAUAUAAAGGGAGCAAGUGUUUGCAGAGAUAGAGUUUCCAUUAGACAGCGGGGCUGGGGAAGGAGCAGGCUCCCGAGCCUGCACUGUACUCACCAGGCUCGGCACACGGGGUCCAUGGGCAGGCAGGAAGCUUUGUCUGAUGCUCCCAGUUCUGGGGAAAGUCAGAGCGGGAUUGGGUUCCCACAUGUCCCUAGGAAGCCCUGGCUGCCAACCCCAGGCCCUGGGAACAGAGGUCCCAAAUUGCUGUGCUGGGUGCAGCUCAGCCCCAGGCCCGCACGCUGCUGCACAGCCGUGGUCCAGCCAUGAUGGCAGGGUUUGUUGUGGCUGCUACCCCCAGCCCUCGGGCAGCAACACCUUCCAAGUAGUGUUUGGAGCAGGGAGAACCAGGUUUACAGCUCGGCAGCUGAAAUGAAACAGCCAGCAGUGAGGUUUGCAGGGGAUCUGCUCAGGGCUGCCUGGCCCUGUCUAAGGAGGACCGGCGUUUAUGGCAGCCCAGUGCACACCAUGACGGGGCUCCUCUCCAUCCCUCACCAAGCCUUUGAGCUGUCGGGCCUCUGCUCUGGGACAGUGCUGUCCACUGGUCCCAAGGACAGGCUGGAGCCAGAAGCUGCAGCGAGCGGUGGUGGUGGUGAAGGGACACACCAGUUCUUGUCCCCAGACCUCAUCACUCCCAUGAUAACUGAUCUCUGCAGAGCCUCGGUGGUACAAGUACAGAUGAGCAGAUUUGCAGGGCUUUAGGACACAAUAUACAGGAUUACUCCAGAAGGGUAUACACCCUAAUGUGCUCUGUCCUCCCAGGAAAAGAGGAGAUUACCCAUCACUGACAGCUUUGCUGUAAAGCCCAGGCAGGGCUCCUGGACUGGAAGGUUUUGU